rnacentral:rRNA from 14 species
UCGAGAGGGAAACAGCCCAGAUCACCAGCUAAGGUCCCUAAGCGUGUGCUAAGUGGGAAAGGAUGUGGAGUUGCACAGACAACCAGGAGGUUGGCUUAGAAGCAGCCACCCUUGAAAGAGUGCGUAAUAGCUCACUGGUCAAGUGAUUCCGCGCCGACAAUGUAGCGGGGCUCAAGCACACCACCGAAGCUGUGGCAUCAGCACUUUGCUCAGCAUCACGGACUUGUUCGUGGUGUUCAGGCGUGUUGAUGGGUAGGGGAGCGUCGUGCCGGGAGUGAAGCAUCCGAGUGAUCGAGGUGUGGAUCCGGCACGAGUGAGAAUGCAGGCAUGAGUAGCGAAUGACGGGUGAGAAACCCGUCCGCCGGAUGACUAAGGGUUCCAGGGUCAAGCUAAUCUGCCCUGGGUAAGUCGGGACCUAAGGCGAGGCCGACAGGCGUAGUCGAUGGACAACGGGUUGAUAUUCCCGUACCGGCGAAGAACC